AUGGAUGAUGGAACUGGUGGUGUUCAAGAAUCAAGUGACAUGUCGAUUUCAAGCGAUGAUGACACCAAUAAGCAACGGAAUGAAAGCAAUGUGGAACUUGAACAUGACCUUGGUGAAGCUCAACCAGAUGCCUUACUUGGAGACCCUAAAUUGGGGAUGACCUUUGAUACCGAGAAUGAGGUGCGAGAGUACUACAACAACUACGCUAAAGCAAAGGGCUUUGGUGUGACAAGAAGAAGCUCAAACAAUGAUGAUAAUGGACAGCUGAAGUAUCUUACACUUUCGUGCUCUCGGUAUGGUAAGACUCAGUCCAGAUCAAGAAAUAUGUUGAAACCAAAUCCAACAACCGGGUUAGGAUGUAAAGCUAAAAUCAAUAUUACCCGUGGUCCUGAUGGGAAGUUUCAUCUUUCAACUGUCAUUUUAGAUCAUAAUCAUACAUUAAGUCCACACAAGUAUCGGUUAUUCAGAUGCAACCAAAAGUUAGACUUCCAUGUGAAGCGAAGGCUUGAGCUGAAUGACCGGGCUGGAAUUCGAGUAAACAAGAAUUUCAAUUCUUUUGUUGUGGAAGCAAAUGGUCAUGAGAACCUAACUUUUGGUGAGAAGAAUGCUCGCAAUUUUCUAGAGAAAACAAGAAGGUUGAAACUUGGCAGAGGUGAUGCUGAAGCGGUUCGUGAUUUUUUUGUCAAGAUGCAAUCUGACAACCCAAAUUUUGUCAGUGUCAUGGACCUUGAUGAUGAAUCUCGACUAAGGAAUGUCUUUUGGGCUGAUGCAAGAAGUAGAGCAGUGUAUGACUCUUUUCAUGAUGUCGUUAGUUUUGACACAACAUAUUUGACGAACAAAUAUGAUAUGCCUUUUGCUUGUUUUGUUGGAGUGAAUCAUCAUGGACAAUCAGUUUUGCUUGGAUGUGCUCUAUUAUCAAAUGAAGAUACAGAAACAUUUGUUUGGUUAUUUCAAGCAUGGCUCACAUGUAUGUCAAAUCUCCAUCCAAAAGCUAUUGUAACCGAUCAAGCAAAAGCAAUUCAGAAUGGUGUGGAAAGAGUUUUUCCAGAAUCUCGAUAUAGAUGGUGUUUGUGGCAUAUAAUGAAGAAGAUACCCGAGAAGUUUGGUGGAUAUGAUGAGUAUGAUCACAUUAAGGCUGCUAUUGGCAAGGCAGUUUAUGAUUCAUUAACAAUUACAGAGUUUGAAGUUGCUUGGAUGCAUAUGCUUGAGAAGUAUGAUCUUGGUGAUAACGAAUGGCUUAAAGGGCUUUACCGCCAUAGGCACCGAUGGGUUCCAGCAUUUGUGAAAGAUGCCUUUUGGGCAGGUAUGUCUACUACACAACGUAGUGAGAGUAUGAAUGCCUUCUUCGAUGGGUAUGUUAAUGCAAAAACUACAUUGAAGCAUUUUGUUAGCCAAUAUGAGAAUGCUCUUCGUGAUAAAGUUGAGAAGGAGAAUAUUGCUGAUUUCAACUCUUUCAAUUCAACCAUACCUUGCAUCACACACUUUGAUAUCGAGAAGCAAUUUCAAUCAAUCUAUACAAAUUCGAAGUUCAAAGAAUUUCAAGAAGAGCUAACACACAAGAUGUAUUGUGAUCGGAAGUUAAUAGAAAAAAAGGGGCAAUGGAAACAUAUGAAAUAA
rnacentral:rRNA from 1 species